rnacentral:rRNA from 1 species
ACAGAGGUGGCGAGCGUUACUCGGAUUUAUUGUGUGUAAAGGGCAAGUAGGCGUCUUGACAAGUUAGGAGUGAAAUCCUGCAGCUAAACUGCAGAACUGCUUCUAAAACUGUUAAGAUUGAGUUUGGGAGAGGAAAGCGGAAUUCUCGGUAUAAGAAUGAAAGCUGUAGAUAUCUGAAGGAAUACCAGUGGCGAAGGCAGCUUUCUGGCCCAGUACUGACGCUGAAUUGCGUAACUUAGGGGAGCAAACAG